UCACUCCUGGGGGUUUUAAUCUGGACUCUCAUCAGGAAGUGAGAUGGCUUCAGCUGGUCUGAUUGGAGUUUCCACUGGCAACCCAGAGGUUCACCAGCUGUACUGAUGAUAUGCUUCCUAUCAUGGUGGAGAGAUGGUGAUUCAUUUUCUUUAACAAGUGUCAGAAAGAAGUCCAACUGCAGGUUACACACAAUGCACACACUCAAGUAACAUUGCAGAAGCCAGCAGCAGGUGCAGAGAGCUGAUUGGAAUCUGGCACAGUUACAUGAUGAUGACUCAUCGAAACACAUGCGAGAUGAGGAGGAAGAGGAAGCGGAGGGCAGGACCAAAUCAUCAGCUUCGCUCUCUAUAUCACCCGAUCUUUCUCAUGACUUUGUCAAAAGACACAUAGAUUUGGAAAAACAGAACUAAUUAAAACUUUUGUAUAAAACUGGAUCUAAUUGAGUGGGCUGAUUAAGUAGCUUUUCAGAUGUUCGCAAGGCCAUCAAUGCGCCAGAGCUACGAGCAAGGGUAAAGACUGCAUCAGCUUGGAUUGGAUCUGAGGUU